GAUGAACGCUGGCGGCGUGCCUAAUACAUGCAAGUCGAACGCUGAAGGAGGAGCUUGCUCUUCUGGAUGAGUUGCGAACGGGUGAGUAACGCGUAGGUAACCUGCCUGGUAGCGGGGGAUAACUAUUGGAAACGAUAGCUAAUACCGCAUGACAACAGUUAUUGCAUGAUAACUGUUUAAAAGGGGCAACUGCUCCACUACCAGAUGGACCUGCGUUGUAUUAGCUAGUUGGUGAGGUAACGGCUCACCAAGGCGACGAUACAUAGCCGACCUGAGAGGGUGAUCGGCCACACUGGGACUGAGACACGGCCCAGACGCCUACGGGAGGCAGCAGUAGGGAAUCGUCGGCAAGGGACGGAAGUCUGACCGAGCAACGCCGCGGGAGUGAAGAAGGGUGUCGGAUCGUAAAGCUCUGUUGUAAGAGAAGAACGAGUGUGAGAGUGGAAAGUUCACACUGUGACGGUAGCUUACCAGAAAGGGACGGCUAACUACGUG
rnacentral:rRNA from 1 species